CAAGAUGCUCGUGUUUAGAACAAGUAUUUAAAAAGCGCGUAAAGUUCACAGUUAAAAAUCGCAAUUAAGUUGAAUUCAUCAUCGCACCAAUAAACGUUCUGUAUCUGGGCGAACCCGAUGACCGAUCUCAGAAAAAAAGGUCGAAGGUGGAGAGAACGGACAAUUAUCUAAUCACGUGCAUUACCGCAACCAAGUUUUAUCUCAGAGUCAUUUCCGCGCGAAUGCCGCAGUAUCCUUUCGGAUCGCGGACGCACAUGUCACGGCUCGCCUCAGUUCGCCCGGUUCGUCCAUCGAAAGUUAAAUAAAAACGUUCGACGUUUGAAGAGACCGGGAUGGUACAGCGGAUAAUGAUCAUCGGUCUCCUCCUCCUGGCGACGGCGUGCCUCCACGUGGCCGCGACUUCGCAGCACCGUGACCGGGAGAGUCUCUGCGAGGCUCGGCAGACCUGCACGAGCUGCCUGCAAACACCACAAUGCGUCUGGUGCUCCAUGACGGGAUCACAAAGCAGGAAUGUUCCUCUGUUACGUUGCGUGUCCAAACAAACAUAUUUACGAGAAGGCAACCUUUGGUGUCCACCAUCAGCCGUGAUAAAUCAUGAGAAUACAAUGGACAUAAUUGAAAAUCGACAGUUAUCCUCAAUCAGGGGUAAUGAUCCUGUUCAAGUUCAACCCCAGAGGAUUCGUUUACGUCUCAGGCCAGGAGAGAAUUAUCGCGUAACUAUGAAAUAUGGUCAAGCAAAGGAUUAUCCUGUGGAUCUAUAUUACCUUAUGGAUCUAUCGGCAUCCAUGCAGCCUUACAGAGACAAAUUAUCGAAACUUGGUCUGAAACUGGCCAAAGCUAUGCAAAAUCUCACGUCAAAUUUCCGUAUUGGCUUUGGCAGCUUUGUAGACAAGGUCGUUUUACCAAUGACUAGCACGCAGCCAGAUAAAUUGGAGUCUCCCUGCACUUUGCAGACUGGAAAAAAAUGUGCACCACCUUACGCUUAUAAAAAUCAAAUGCGUCUUACGCAAAACGUAGCUCUAUUUGAGUCUCAGGUACAAGCGGCGCCGGUAUCGGGUAAUCUGGACGGUCCCGAGGGAGGGCUUGACGCGAUGAUGCAGGUCAUAGUAUGCUCCAUGGAAAUCGGCUGGCGCCAAAAAGCACGUCAUCUUAUUGUGUUCUCAACUGAUGCGUCCUUUCACAUUGCUGGCGACGGUAGACUUGCAGGGAUAAUAGAGCCUAACGAUUGUAAGUGCCACUUGGAUACGGAAGGAUUCUACACUCACUCCCUUCUACAGGAUUAUCCAUCGAUUGCUCAGAUUAGCAAAAAAGCGCGUGAGCACAACAUGUAUAUUAUUUUUGCUGUUCCGGAUCACAAGAACGCGACUUAUCAGCGAUUAAGCCGCAGUAUCAGCGGAUCCUCAACCGCAACUCUGGAAAAUGAUGGUCAAAAUGUUGUCGCCUUAGUGAGCAGCGAAUACGAGAAAUUAGUGGACUUAGUGAGGUUGAUGGAUACAGCGCCGAAGAUGAUAGACGUUAAAUAUUUCUCCCGAUGUUUGAAUAAAACGGGGGAAUUGUUGGAACGUCAGGAAUGCGGAGGGCUUCGCGUAGGCAAUAUUAUCGAGUUUGAAGUUGUGUUUAAGGUUGUGGAAUGUCCCAAAGACCGAAAGGAUUGGUACCAAACUAUGAUGAUCUAUCCUAGAGGUUUGCAUGAGAGUCUGACUAUCGAUGUGCAAAUUAUAUGCGACUGUCCUUGUGAAAAACCUGGACAUCCGGGAUAUCAGCCGAAUGCAAUAGAAUGCAAUGCUAGUGGUACAUCCAUGUGCGGCGUGUGUUCUUGCGAUUCCGAUUAUUAUGGAAAUUACUGCGAAUGCCAGAAAAGCCAACUCGGUACUGAAUCGAUCUCGAUGAUCAAUUGCAAACCCAACAAUCAAACUGCUGAGAUAUGUAGCGGCCACGGCACGUGCAAGUGUGGCGUCUGCGAUUGCGACAAACGACCGAAUCCGCAAGAAUUGUUUUACGGGAUGUACUGCGAAUGCGACAAUUUUUCUUGCAAACGCAGUGACGGCCAGGUCUGCGGCGGAAGGGGCAUGUGCGAAUGCGGUACCUGCAAUUGCCGGCCGGGAUGGGGUGGUGAGGCGUGCGACUGCAAGGAGACCAACAGCACAUGCAUCCCGCCGUCGGGCGAGAACGUCGAGAUUUGCAGCGGACGUGGCAAAUGCAUCUGCGGCAGCUGUCACUGCUACGAGCUGGACAAUAUUCGAUAUUCCGGACAAUAUUGCGAGGAGUGCCCGACGUGUCCGGGACAACGAUGCGACGAGCUGAAGGAUUGCGUGGAGUGCGUGGCGUACAACUCAGGACCGUUCGCAAAAAACGGACAGUGUGACUUGUGCAUGCAUGAAAUAGACAUCGUCGACGUAAUCGAAGAAGAUUCCAUGAAAGACAAAGAAACCGAUGCCCGCAUAUGUCGAACACCCGGUGACGCAGGCUGCACGUUUGUUUUCAAAUACCAAUAUCAUAGAGGCGGUACUGGAGGAGAUAUCAAAAUCUUUAAGAUUCAAGCCCAGAAAGAGAGAGCUUGCCCAAUGCCCAUUAACGUUUUCGGUAUAGUGUUGCGCUGGGUGUCGUCAUAAGCACCGUCAUCAUCGGUUUCUUGAUCCUCCUCAUUUGGAAGACCCUCACGAUCAUCCACGACAAGAGGGAAUACGCCAGGUUCGAGAAGGAGCGCGCCCUCGCCAAAUGGGACAGAGGCGAGAAUCCUCUGUACAAACAAGCGACGUCGACUUUCUCCAAUCCGACGUUCAAUACAUCAGAAAUUAAUAAUUGAUAACUUUAGACUGGUUGUGAUAUUACGAAAUUCGUAAUAAUAGCUUUUAAUGUUAGUCUUUUUGCGCAAAGUUUUAUAAUACAAUAUAUUAUAUAACGCAUCGAAGGUGAUAAAUAUUAUUUUUCAUUAAUAAGUUCUUAAAGAUUAGUUCUCAUAUGAGAAAUAAUUUUUAAAGUCACUUAAUUUAUUAUAUUUAUAAAGUUUAACGUUAAGAAAUAUCUGAUAAUAAUUAUAAUAUAUAGAAAUUAUAAUUUAUAUAUUAAUAUAUCAACAUGUGACUCAAAUUAAAAAAUAAAAUCGUGUAAAUUGCUUAUGCCUAAUGAACAGGCGUAAAUUAAUAUAAA